AUGUGCAGUAACUCACAUAGACUGCUGCUUCUUCAGAUAGAAGAAAGCAGAAAAAUAGAUAAAACUUGUAUUCAUAGCAGGACAAAAUAUGUAGAGGUUCUGUUUUUAACUGGUGCUUUUCAUUUUGCCUCAGGAAGAAAGGCCUGGGAAAGUCAUCAUAGCUUCCAAAAUAUGUACCCAACCACUCUGAAUACAGACACUUCUGGAAAGGUUGCCCUGAUUUUUGGUGGCAUGAAUACCUGCACACAGUGUUGAUGAUCAUUGGUAUUUCCGCAAUAACAGGCUGUGGAACAUUAUUCACGUUAACCUUAGAAGCAGUGGGAGAAGCAUGCACUCAUGUGCCCUUGUGCGCUCCUGGUUGAUUGCAGCUGAGUGUGCACAGUGAGGAAAGGCAGUUGUGGAACACGUCCAUUGAACAAUACUAUGACAGACACGCUUUGGACCGGAGUGUUUAUACCACUCUUCUCCUUUUUGACAGCUUCCUGCAAACACUCAUUUGGGGGUUUGUUCAGCCUUCAAGAUCUUAUUCUUCUUCUUGGAAAUGCCCACGUUUGCAUGUGGGCAUGGUACUUGUAGGUGAAUGUAAAUGCUGGGAAUUUGUGAUGGAAGUAUUCUCUCUUGUGUAUUGUGCUUUGCUCAUUCCAUUGCAGAUUGGGAAUGGCCAAACUAGAAGUGACAAUCAGUCCCACAUGGGAAAUACUGAGUGAUUUGUGAGAAAACAAUUGUCCUAAAAAACACCCGACACCCUAGAAAGCUGAGCUGUGUGAACACAAAGUGUUCUGUAAAUAAUUGCAGAGUGAGAAACUCAACCCUGAACUGAACUGAACUCAAACUCUGUUGUUAGUUAAUCCAAGUCUGAGGAGCUGUACUUGUCUUUACUAAGUCAACCACUUGCUCUGCUCCAGGUGUACUGGCAUUCUAUAUUUAAAGUGGGUGGGUGUCCCCAAAGGCCAUGCAAAUGAUUAAACUAGCCAUGCUUAUAAUCUAAUCAUUCUUGAUAGGCAGGUAGUGCACCUUUCAUGUCUGAGAUAGAGCCUCCUCUCCUCAUCCCUCCUUAGGAGCAGGAGAAGAAUAAGUCACACACCUGAUUGCUCCUGAGCUAUGGAUCUGUGAUAAGCCAAUAUCUGCAGUGAAGCCUCAUGCACUAUCUAGUCAUCAGCUGCUGGCUCUUACUUGUUUCAAGGUCAAUAGCAAACAACAAUAAAUUUUAUCCACUACUUCCCCA
rnacentral:lncRNA from 1 species